rnacentral:rRNA from 1 species
AUUGAACGCUGGCGGCAGGCCUAACACAUGCAAGUCGAGCGAGCGGCGGACGGGUGAGUAACGUAUGGGGCUCUGCCCGAUAGAGGGGGAUAACUACUGGAAACGGUGGCUAAUACCGCAUACUAUCGGAUGAACCCAUAAGGGAUUAGCUAGUAGGUGGGGUAAAGGCUAACAUAGGCGACGAUCUCUAGCUGGUCUGAGAGGAUGAACUGCCACACGGGGACUGAGACACGGCCCAGACUCCUACGGGAGGCAGCAGUGGGGAAUAUUCCACAAUGGGCGCAAGCCGGAUGGAGCAAGGCCGCGUGUAUGAAGAAGGCCUUAGGAUUGUAAAGUACUUUCAGCGGGGAGGCGUUACCCGCAGAAGAAGCACCGGCUAACUCCGUGCCAGCAGCCGCGGUAAUUC